rnacentral:rRNA from 1 species
GCUCGUAGUUGGAUUUGUGGUGUACUUCGGCGGCCCGUCACUAUGUGAUGGAGCUUGCUGAAGUCGCCAUCCUUGGGUGGAUCCUGUGUGGCAUUAAGUUGUCGUGCAGGGGAUGCCCAUCGUUUACUGUGAAAAAAUUAGAGUGUUCAAAGCAGGCUUAUGCCGUUGAAUAUAUUAGCAUGGAAUAAUAAGAUAGGACCUUGGUACUAUUUUGUUGGUUUGCGCACCAAGGUAAUGAUUAAUAGGGACAGUUGGGGGUAUUCGUAUUUCAUUGUCAGAGGUGAAAUUCUUGGAUUUUUGAAAGACGAACUACUGCGAAA